AGUCGAGCGGACAGAAGGGAGCUUGCUCCCGGAUGUUAGCGGCGGACGGGUGAGUAACACGUGGGUAACCUGCCUGUAAGACUGGGAUAACUCCGGGAAACCGGAGCUAAUACCGGAUAGUUCCUUGAACCGCAUGGUUCAAGGAUGAAAGACGGUUUCGGCUGUCACUUACAGAUGGACCCGCGGCGCAUUAGCUAGUUGGUGAGGUAACGGCUCACCAAGGCGACGAUGCGUAGCCGACCUGAGAGGGUGAUCGGCCACACUGGGACUGAGACACGGCCCAGACUCCUACGGGAGGCAGCAGUAGGGAAUCUUCCGCAAUGGACGAAAGUCUGACGGAGCAACGCCGCGUGAGUGAUGAAGGUUUUCGGAUCGUAAAGCUCUGUUGUUAGGGAAGAACAAGUGCAAGAGUAACUGCUUGCACCUUGACGGUACCUAACCAGAAAGCCACGGCUAACUACGUGCCAGCAGCCGCGGUAAUACGUAGGUGGCAAGCGUUGUCCGGAAUUAUUGGGCGUAAAGGGCUCGCAGGCGGUUUCUUAAGUCUGAUGUGAAAGCCCCCGGCUCAACCGGGGAGGGUCAUUGGAAACUGGGAAACUUGAGUGCAGAAGAGGAGAGUGGAAUUCCACGUGUAGCGGUGAAAUGCGUAGAGAUGUGGAGGAACACCAGUGGCGAAGGCGACUCUCUGGUCUGUAACUGACGCUGAGGAGCGAAAGCGUGGGGAGCGAACAGGAUUAGAUACCCUGGUAGUCCACGCCGUAAACGAUGAGUGCUAAGUGUUAGGGGGUUUCCGCCCC
rnacentral:rRNA from 1 species